GGGCUGAGAGGAGCGUGGCUGUCUCCUCUCUCGGCCAUGGCGUGUGCUCGCCCACUGAUACCGGUGUACUCCGAAAAGGGGGAGUCAUCUGGCAAAAAUGUCACUUUGCCUGCUGUAUUCAAGGCUCCUAUUCAACCAGAUAUUGUGAACUUUGUUCACACCGACUUGCGCAAAAACAACAGCCCUACACUGUCAGUGAAUUAGCAGGUCAUCAGACCAGUGCUGAGUCUUGGGGUACUGGCAGAGCUGUGGCUCAAAUUCCCACAGUUCAAGGUGGUGGGACUCACCGCUCUGGCCAGGGUGCUUUUGGAAACGUGUCGUGGAGGCCAAAUGUUUGCAGCAACCAAAACCUGGCGCUGCUGGCAUCGUAGAGGGAACACACCCAAAAACGAUAUGCUGUCUGUUCUGCUCUGGCUGCCUCAGCCCUGCCAGCACUGGUCACGUCUAAAGGUCAUCGUGUUGAGGAAGUUCCUGAACUUCCUUUGGUAGUUGAAGAUAAAGUUGAAGGCUACAAGAAGACCAAGGAAGCUGUUUUGCUUCGUAAGAAACUUAAAGCCUGGAAUGAUAUCAAAAAGGUCUAUGCCUCUCAGGGAAUGAGAGCUGGCAAAGGCAAAACGAGAAACUGUUGCCGUAUCCAGCGCAGGGGGCCGUGCAUCAUCUAUAAUGAGGAUAAUGGUAUCAUCAAGGCCUUCAGAAACAUCCCUGGAAUUACUCUGCUUAAUGUAAGCAAACUGAACAUUUUGAAGCUUCCUCCUGGUGGGCAUGUGGGACGUUUCUGCAUUUGGACUGAAAGUACUUUCCGGAAGUUAGAUGAAUUGUAUGGCACUUGGCGUAAAGCUGCUUCCCUCAAGAGUAACUACAGUCUUCCCAUGCACAAGAUGAUUAAUACAGAUCUUAGCAGAAUCUUGAAAAGCCCAGAGAUCCAAAGAGCCCUUGGAGCACCACGCAAGAAGAUUCAUCGCAGAGUCCUAAAGAAGAACCCACUGAAAAACCUGAGAAUCAUGUCGAAGCUAAACCCAUAUGCAAAGACCAUGCGCCGGAACACCAUUCUUCGCCAGUCCAGGAAUCACAAGCUCUGGGUGGAUAAGGCAGCUGCUGCAGCAGCAGCACUAGAAGCCAAAUCAGAUGAGAAGGUGGCAGUUGCAGGCAAGAAGCCUGUGGAAGGUAAGAAAGGAAAGAAGGCUGCUGUUGGUGUUAAGAAGCAGAAGAAGCCUCUGGUGGGAAAAAAGGCAGCAUAUACCAAGAAACCAGCCCCUGAAAAGAAGCCUGCAGAAAAGAAACCUACGCCAGAGGAAAAGAAACCUGCUGCAUAAACUCUUAAAUUUGAUUAUUCAUAAAGGUCAAAUUAUUUUGGACAGUUUCUUUUGAAUAAAGACCUGAUCAUACAGGCAGUGAGGAGAAAAAAAAAAAAAAAAAAAGUCUGAGAGUUGCCAAUAAGCGAUGAUGAGGAGGGAAAAAGUGCAUUUUUUCAUAAUUAGAAAAAACUUAUUAGGUCAUUAUUAGAAGGAAAAAAGUACGUUUUCUCAAAAUUAGGAGAGUGAAGAGCUGAGCGUGGUGGUUCAUGCCUGUGGUCCCAGCUACUUGGGAGGCUGAAGCAAGAACAUCGAUGGUUGACAGGAGCUCAAGGCUUUUAGUAUGUUAUGAUUGCCCCUGUGACUAGCCACUGCACUCCAGCCUGGGUAACAUAGUGAGACCUCACCUCUAAAAAUUACGGAGAGUCAGCCAAGAAAUCCAAGAGUGAAAGAGCAGUAUCAGGUGAAUAUCAAUGAGUCACAGCAGUGUGGCUUUUCU